rnacentral:lncRNA from 1 species
UUGCAGGAGGAAGAGAAAGGUCAAACUCUAACAGUUCCAGGAACACUUCUGAUACCAUGUCGAACUGCAAUGAGAGCUCGAUUUCCCUUGAAUGGAACAUACUUUCAAGUUAAUGAGGUUUGUGCUGACUUUGCUUGAUACAACCCAUCAAUGUUCCAAAACAAUGGGUAUGUUAUCUAGAGAGACGCAUAACAUAUUUUGGUACUGAUGUAUUGGCAAUAACGAGAGGGUUCCUUUGUGUGAGAGCAAUUGAUACAAUAACUGGAGCUCCAAAGCCUAUAUCAUCUAUAUGGCAUCGCAACACAACAAACCAAGUUCGAAAGAGAAACAAAAAUGUGUCAACUGGGUCGCCAAAGGAGUUUUAAUCAAUACUUUUGGUUUUCCUUUUUACUGUGGUUAAGGAUAAUUUGUAUGCUUCUUUUUGUUCUUUUUCCAAAUUCGAAUUCAGUUUGUUUUAGAAAUACUUGAUUAUCGUUUCUGCUAAUGUAUUUCAAGGGUUCAGUCUUUUGUUCGUUAUGCACUCUUUUU